AGUGAACGCUGGCGGUAGGCCUAACACAUGAAAGUCGAACGGCAGCACAGUAAGAGCUUGCUCUUACGGGUGGCGAGUGGCGGACGGGUGAGGAAUACAUCGGAAUCUACUUUUUCGUGGGGGAUAACGUAGGGUAACUUACGCUAAUACAGCAUACGACCUACGGGUGAAAGCAGGUGAUCUUCUGACCUUGCGCGAUUGAAUGAGCCGAUGUCGGAUUAGCUAGUUGGCGGGGUAAAGGCCCACCAAGGCGACGAUCCGUAGCUGGACUGAGAGGAUGAUCACCCACACUGGAACUGAGACACCUUCCAGACUCCUACGGGAGGCAGCAGUGGGGAAUAUCGGACAACAUGCGCAAGACUGAUCCAGCCCUACCGCGUGGGUCAAGAAGGCCCUCGGUUUGUAACGCCCUUUUGUUGGGAAAGAAAAGCAGUAGGUUUAUACUACGCUGUUCUGACGGUCCCCAAAGAAUAAGCACCGGCUAACUCCGUG
rnacentral:rRNA from 1 species